UACGUAGGCAGCGAGCGUUGUUCGGAAUUACUGGGCGUAAAGAGUGUGUAGGCGGUGUUCCAAGUCUGGUGUGAAAUCUCCCGGCUCAACUGGGAGGGUGCGCCGGAAACUGGAAUGCUAGAGGGUGGGAGAGGUAAGCGGAAUUCCUGGUGUAGCGGUGAAAUGCGUAGAUAUCAGGAGGAACACCUGUGGUGUAGACAGCUUACUGGACCACUUCUGACGCUGAGACACGAAAGCGUGGGUAGCAAACAGG
rnacentral:rRNA from 1 species